UAAGUUCAUAAUCGACGUGCAGAGAUGGAGAUUAUGAACUCAAAUAAAAGUUCAUAAUUACCACCCACGAUUUCAUCUCAAACUCAAAUUUCCUUCCUUUCUAUAUGUCUUGUUAGAAAUACAAAAGAAAAGUAGAAAUCGAACGGACAAAAUUUUGUUGUUGGAGCAAAAAUUUUCGAGCCAAUGUUCUAUCGUUUCAAAAGAAGAUAUGGGAGAACUAAUUUGCAUGACUUUGGUCGUUGUUGCCGGCAACAAUAUUGGCAAAAUACUUCAGAAGAAGGCCACCGUCGUUUUCUUUUUCACAUUUUCUAAGUCAUUUAAUUUCAUUCGAUUCGUUUGUUAUUCUUUCUUGAGUUUUCUGAUCGCUAGCAGUAUGGUGUUUCUUUGAUUCUCAAUUUUUCGGAUUUCAUUAAGGAAGUAUGAGAGAUUGGAUUUGCUUUAUGAAUUGGGUUUGGUAGUUGGCAAAGCUAGCAAUUCCGAUGGAUUUAAAAGCCAGGAAACCUUACCUAGUUCAACUAUUGCCGCGACUGCCAGUGAGCCAUCUAGUUCCAAGAUUGUUAAUAGAAUCCAGAAGUUGAGGAAGCAAGUUGCCCUUGAACCUACAGAUACAGUAGAAGUGUAUUUUCGAUCAUAAGAUGAGGAUACAUCAGUAGCACACAGAGACAUCAAAGCCCGAUUUCUUUUAAAUCUUUUGCAGUUUUUUAAACGAUGUAUAUAUGGAAAGGUUUAUUUUUUGGAUUUUUCUUUCCUUAUGUUUGUGGGAAUUUCUUGUUAAUGCUAGGUCCACAUCCUCAUUUCAACCUAAUUUCCAAAGAAACAACCUUCUCUAGUGCUGCAAAGUUCUCGGUUAAUGUAAUUUUGCCUUGAAUCUUCAAAACUCUUGUGUAUAUCAGCUUUGGUUUGUAGUUGGAUAGGACCAAUGCCAUAAACAUGCUUGUACGUUUCUCUCCUUUGGUUGUCCAAACUCGACUUCAUAGUUUAACCUUUCCAGCUUAUAUUAAUUCAAUGUUGAAAUAGUAUCAAGUGUCUCUGUUUAUAA